rnacentral:tRNA from 1 species
GGGCCAGUGGCGGAUAACGCGCCUGACUACGGAUCAGGAGAUUCCAGGUUCGAAUCUGGCUGGCUCG